GCAAGUCUGGUGCCAGCAGCCGCGGUAAUUCCAGCUCCAAUAGCGUAUAUUAAAGUUGUUGCAGUUAAAAAGCUCGUAGUUGAACCUUGGGUCUGGCUGGCCGGUCCGCCUCACCGCGUGUACUGGUCCGGCCGGACCUUUCCUUCUGGGGAAUCGCAUGCCCUUCACUGGGUGUGUCGAGGAUCCAGGACUUUUACUUUGAAAAAAUUAGAGUGUUCAAAGCAGGCCUAUGCUCGAAUACAUUAGCAUGGAAUAAUAGAAUAGGACGUGUGGUUCUAUUUUGUUGGUUUCUAGGACCGCCGUAAUGAUUAAUAGGGAUAGUCGGGGGCAUCAGUAUUCAAUUGUCAGAGGUGAAAUUCUUGGAUUUAUUGAAGACUAACUACUGCGAAAGCAUUUGCCAA
rnacentral:rRNA from 1 species